AUUCCCUUCUUCUCUGAAAUCAAUAAAAACAUAUUAAAAUUAAAAAAAAAAGUACAGGCCCUGAAAGAAACAGAGCAUACCUUUAUGCCCUAACAACUGAAUGUUAUCUUGGCUAGGAAGGGGUUCAAACUGGAUAGGGCUCAAACUUGGCAGAGAUCUCUGUGAAGCUAUAGAUGCGGGAGUAGAUCUGCAAAAGAACACAUGGACAAGAGCACACUCAGCAUUAAGAAAUGCCAAUGUUGCUAUUGCCAGUGACCACAGCCAUAUUCAGUGACCGCAGCUAAAUAAGACAAUUUGCAGAUCAUUUACUCUCUUUCUAGGAAUCAUUGUCUCUGCUACAGUCCGGUGAACUAACCUGCUUUGUGCUGCAUAGUGAGUGACUUCAGUAACUGCCCACAUGUCACCGUUGGAUUUUCUAAGUAAUGCCUAGCUAUGACCUAAGAAUUUGCUGAGUCUCAUUCAAACUGGCCUGUAUAGACAUUUGGUUAAGAUCCCUGGAAACAAAGACAGGGCCAUUGACAUUUAAUAAAGGUAGUAGUGAUAGGAAUGGAAAGCCCCAUUACCAGAACUUGGGUGGGAAUGGAAAACGGAGUAAGUCACCUCUUUUACAUGUCCCCUUCUUUGCAAUUCCAUCCUUUGAUUCUGUGACUAACCUUAUAUAAACUCUUUCUAGACUAGAAGAACUUGAUUUUUGUAGGGUGUACCCCAGGGAUUCCAGCUGAUACGUAAUUAUAUACCCCUUAGCAGUUAGUUUUGAUAACGCAUUCACAUUUACUAUUUUUUCAACUAUACAGUACUGUGAUGUCUAGCUAAGGCAUAUAUUUUAUUACAUUAUACAGAAGGUAAGACAUGUUUUAUUCAAGGUUGCAAAACUUUAAAAGGUAAAUCCAUCAAUCUUAAAGUUUUCGCUUUAAGAAACCUUUUCCACAAUGUCAUCUUUCCAAUAUUAUUUGCAAAGUGUGACAAAAACAAUACCCAUCUAAGUCUAAGACUAUGAAAAUUCUUAAAACAACAUACCUGUCCUAGUCGGUUUGGCUCUGUGGAUAGAGCAUCAGCCUGCGGACUGAAGGGUACCAGGUUCGAUUCCGGUCAAGGGCACAUGCCUGAGUUGUGGGCUCAAUCCCCAGGGGGUGCGUACAGGGGUCAGCCAAUGAUUCCCCUCUCAUCAUUGAUGUUUCUCUCUCUCUCUUCCUCUUCCUUUCUCUUUGAAGUGAAUAAAAAUAUAUUAAGACAAAAAAAAAAAAACCACCACCAAAAACACCUAAAUACAAACUGCACUCACUUGGUCCUACUCAUCUAAAAACAAUUUUCCUCUGCAGCAAGUCAUCAAUACACUGCACUCUACCAGUAGUAAUUUGAUUCUGUGAAAUACUUUUUGUUGUUUGGGGUAUAUGUUCAUAUGCUGCAAGGAAAAUCAGGUGUCUAGCAGUAAUUCUUAGUCCUUUUGGUAAGGGUUCAGCUUUGUUGUUGGGCACUUAAUGUACAAGACAAUGCUUCCUAUCUAUGAUCCCACAUCCAGAAUUUUAUGACUUCUGAUCUUUCCAAAGGCACCCAACAGAGGUGGCUUUCUUGCGUUACUACUCUUUCUUCCUGCACUCUACUACUUUUUUUUUUUUUCUGUUCACUUUGACUUUUUAAAAAUAAACUAUUUUAGAAUACUUUUAGGUUUACAGAAAAGUUGCAAUGAUAAUACACAAAGUUACCAUAUAUUUCACACCCAGCUUCCCCUAUUAACAUCUUACAUACGUAUGGUACAGUACUCACAAUUCAUGAACCAACAUAGAUGAUAAAGGAUGAUGAUGACUAUUGUUAAUAAGACUCCUUUUAUUGAGGGAGUGGUAAAGUUCUAGAAGAAAAAGUGAAUUGAAAGAUCAUUGUGACCAUCUUUGGAAAAUACAAUGUGUCAAUGUGAAGUAUAAGCAGACACCAAUCUUAUAAUUUUCCCUACUUCCCUUUAAAACUGCUCUGUGAACUCAUUCUUCCCUGGAUCUUCAAUAAAAUUGCAUUCCAAUCCCA